rnacentral:sRNA from 1 species
GUCAGUAACCCAGCCCUAAAGGGACUGGGCUUGCAAGAGUAAUCAAGCAAGCCGUACUGACCAGACCACCCUGAGCGUUGUCGAAGGGUAGCCGUUAUUUGAGUCACGACACCCACCGAAUGCGUUGCCAGUUCCCUGCUCUGUCGCUUGUGAUUAAACAGUUCUAAGGUCACUGGAACAGUGUUGCAAGCCCAACAAUCUCUUAUAACAGGUCUAGGCUAACAUUACCCCAGAAAUGGG